AAAAGUCGUAACAAGGUUUCCGUAGGUGAACCUUCGGAAGGAUCAUUAUUGAAAGUGCUGCUGUGGUGCAAGCUAUAGCAGCACGCCUAUAUUUACCCUUGACUUUUGUGCACCCGUUUGUUUCCUCGGCAGGGACGCUUGCCACUGAGGACCUUAGAACACCUUGUAGUCUGCAUCUUCUGUCAGUAUCACAAAUUAUUACAACUUUCAACAACGGAUCUCUUGGCUCUA
rnacentral:misc_RNA from 1 species